ACCAUGACUCGGUCGCUCGUGUCAUAUCUGGGGGCGUGGCUUUCCCUCUGACAGGAAAUGAAUGUAAAUCUGUAGAGCUGCGUAAAGUCACUUUUGCUGAGAUCAAUCCACACAGAUGAACUUGCAGGGGCUUCAAGCCUCAACCACAAACCAACGAAUUGAAAGCUGUUGGUCAUACUUCAGAAAAAAAGGGUAUAGUCUACAUUCAUGAUAAUGUGGAUGUUUUAAUGUUUUAAUAUUACUUUUCUUGAUGAAUUUUAAAGUUUCCUGGUUUCUCAGACAAAGCUUAAACCUAAUCCUAGAUUCAAAUUUAUAUUUGAGCUGUUUUAAUUGAAAGCAACUUGUUCUGAAGUAUCUUAAAAUAUCUCAGUGCUAGUGUUUUGUCUCUACUUAAAUGUCCUAAUUAAACUAAGUCCUAAUUCUGUCUUAAAGCCCUGUCUGUAAACCAGGCCUGAAUGUAUAAAAGGGAUGUUGAUGUUGGUUUAUUUACACGGGUCUCAGAUCUGGAUGGAUCUUCUAAAUGACUUGAAAGAGAGUCAACUCUUUAAUGGCAGUCAUGAGCAAAUAUGCUUGGUGCGGUUUGUGUUUUUAAGUGUUCUGCAGAUGGACCUUGUCUCGUUGUCGUUCUGGUAAACCAGAUGCAAUGUUCGCUCUUCCACACAGGUUUAAUGGGAGAGAAUGUGGAUUUCGUGUCUCCCAGGAAGACUUUUUCAUUGAACCUACUAUUAGUUCAUGUGGAGAUGAACAGCUUCAGGCAAACGUUGAAGAACUACAAACUCAAAGCUGUCUGACUACACGUCACACUUGGGAGACUGGUGUGGAGAACUAUUUAACUUUAAAGAACAUCGCCCGCAUUUAAACUCUGGUUAGUUCAGAAACGUUUGUUACGAAAAACAUCCACUGUUAAAGGGAUAGUUCACCCAAAAAUAAAAACAGUCAUAAUAUACUCAACUGCAUGUUGUUCCAAACAUAUAUGACUUUCUUUUUUCUGAAGGUGAUAUUUUGAAGAAUGUUGUUAACCAGACACUUGAUGAUACCCACUGAUUUCCAUAGUAAGAAUUUAUUUAUUUAUUUAUUUUUUUUUUGGGUGAGCUGUCCCCUUACAUUGUUCUACUAAGUGCAAAUCAAAACCAGGUGAGUUUUUGGAUACCAAAGUCCAUUACAUUCAUAGCUUUUGGAGAUUGGCAAUUUGAUUGUGUUGGCACAGUGCUGCGAUGGGAAAUUAAGAAGUGCACUCAAAACUCAGUCGAGCUGAGGCAGAACUGUUGAAGGAGGCAGUGAAUCCAGUCCUGUAGCAAACAUCAGGAUGAUCCUGAGGAAGACUCCAGUUUCUUGUUCUGAAAAAAGAAAAGAAAAGAGGUAACAAUGGAAUAAUAUGAAAUAUGUACACAACAACAAUAAAAUGUGACGUUACAAUC